rnacentral:misc_RNA from 1 species
AACCAUAGAAACCUGCGGAGUACCUGCGGAGGGAUCAUUACCGAGUUUACAACUCCCAAACCCCUGUGAACAUACCACUCGUUGCCUCGGCGGAUCACCGCGCCCCGUGAAACGGGCCGGCCCGCCAGAGGACCUAAACUCAAAUGUUUUAUUGUAUCUUCUGAGUAAAAACACAAAUAAAUCAAAACUUUUAACAACGGAUCU